rnacentral:rRNA from 1 species
UACGGAGGGGGCUAGCGUUGUUCGGAAUUACUGGGCGUAAAGAGCGCGCAGGCGGUUGAUUAAGUCGAAUGUGAAAGCCCCCGGCUCAACUGGGGGAGGGUCAUUCGAUACUGAUUGACUUGAAGGCAGGAGAGAGAAGUGGAAUUCCCGGUGUAGUGGUGAAAUGCGUAGAUAUCGGGAGGAACACCAGGUGGCGAAGG